GGCAGUGGCGCGCUACCAUGCAAGUCGAGCGGUAGCACAGAGAGCUUGCUCUCGGGUGACGAGCGGCGGACGGGUGAGUAAUGUCUGGGAAACUGCCUGAUGGAGGGGGAUAACUACUGGAAACGGUAGCUAAUACCGCAUAAUGUCGCAAGACCAAAGUGGGGGACCUUCGGGCCUCAUGCCAUCAGAUGUGCCCAGAUGGGAUUAGCUAGUAGGUGGGGUAACGGCUCACCUAGGCGACGAUCCCUAGCUGGUCUGAGAGGAUGACCAGCCACACUGGAACUGAGACACGGUCCAGACUCCUACGGGAGGCAGCAGUGGGGAAUAUUGCACAAUGGGCGCAAGCCUGAUGCAGCCAUGCCGCGUGUGUGAAGAAGGCCUUCGGGUUGUAAAGCACUUUCAGCGGGGAGGAAGGCGUUAAGGUUAAUAACCUUGGCGAUUGACGUUACCCGCAGAAGAAGCACCGGCUAACUCCGUGCCAGCAGCCGCGGUAAUACGGAGGGUGCAAGCGUUAAUCGGAAUUACUGGGCGUAAAGCGCACGCAGGCGGUCUGUCAAGUCGGAUGUGAAAUCCCCGGGCUCAACCUGGGAACUGCAUUCGAAACUGGCAGGCUAGAGUCUUGUAGAGGGGGGUAGAAUUCCAGGUGUAGCGGUGAAAUGCGUAGAGAUCUGGAGGAAUACCGGUGGCGAAGGCGGCCCCCUGGACAAAGACUGACGCUCAGGUGCGAAAGCGUGGGGAGCAAACAGGAUUAGAUACCCUGGUAGUCCACGCCGUAAACGAUGUCGAUUUGGAGGUUGUGCCCUUGAGGCGUGGCUUCCGGAGCUAACGCGUUAAAUCGACCGCCUGGGGAGUACGGCCGCAAGGUUAAAACUCAAAUGAAUUGACGGGGGCCCGCACAA
rnacentral:rRNA from 1 species